UAGCGUAUAUUAAAGUUGUUGCGGUAAAAAAGCUCGUAGUUGGAUUUCUGCUGAAGACAGUCGGUCCGAACCACGUUCGCGUAUCUGGCUUGGCUUUAGCAUCCUCUCGGUUGCCGUUUCUGCGCUUGACUGCGUGGUGCGGUGUUCGGGACUUUUACUUUGAGGAAAUUAGAGUGUUCACGGCAGGCUAUCGCCAGAAUACAUUAGCAUGGAAUAAUAAUAUAGGAUUUCGGUUCUAUUUUGUUGGUUUCUAGAACUGAAAUAAUGAUUAAUAGGGACAAUUGGGGGCAUUUGUAUCAACAAGUC
rnacentral:rRNA from 1 species